rnacentral:rRNA from 1 species
CCUACUUACCCCUUCCCCGUUGGUUGGCCGUUCGUUCCGUCCCCCUACCCCGAACCGUACGUAAACGUAACGUCGUCGGUACCAACCCGUACGGGUUGGGUUGGUAACAACGGAAGUACUUCCAGUGAGGACCGUACCCCACGACGACGAUCUAGCUCCUCGCGUUACAUAGACCUGCCUGCAGCCCAGGCACUCUGCUGUUCCAUUACCUGCAACUCGACUCCAUGAAGUCGGAGUCGCUAGUAAUCCCGGAUCAGCAACGCCGGGUGAAUACGUUCCCGGGCCUUGUACACACC